CGUUUUCCCCCUUUUUUCCGACUCAUUUCAGUUUUUUGGUCUCAAGGUAACAAUAUGAUCAUUACCUCUUUCUGAUUGUUUUGCCAGAUCAUAUAACAUAACAAACACAAAAAACAUACAAACAAUCGCAUUCCUGUACAUGAACAAACAGUCGUGUCUUGAUACGUUUGGCGGGGAUGAAGUUACAUACUUACAUCACACUAUAAGUUUACUUAUGAAAGCAAUUUUGGAGAAGAAUUAUGCUCUGACGUAUGUUACAUAUGACGUAUCAGGCGGUUAAUGUAGUAUGUAUUCACUUCUUAGCUUGUACUACAAAGGAGUUAUAUAUGCACGAGAUGUGGCACGAAACUCUCCUUGCCUUUGUGAAAUGGUACAAGCAUGCACUAAGUUGUUUUACCUACUCGAUAAGCGCAAACUCACAAGAAUCUGAUUACUCCUCAAAUUGAGAAAGAGCUCCUACACCCUCCUGAUCAUGCAGAUACUGGUCAAACUCGUUGGACGGCAUUGUUGCAAACCUGAUAACUUUUGAAUUAACUUUUUUUUGUUUUUCAAGUAUUGAUAUCUAUAACAAGGGAGUCCUUUUUUCCUAGCCAAACAGAUA